AGUGAACGCUGGCGGUAGGCCUAACACAUGCAAGUCGAACGGCAGCACAGUAAGAGCUUGCUCUUACGGGUGGCGAGUGGCGGACGGGUGAGGAAUACAUCGGAAUCUACUUUUUCGUGGGGGAUAACGUAGGGAAACUUACGCUAAUACCGCAUACGACCUACGGGUGAAAGCAGGGGAACUUCGGACCUUGCGCGAUUGAAUGAGCCGAUGUCGGAUUAGCUAGUUGGCGGGGUAAAGGCCCACCAAGGCGACGAUCCGUAGCUGGUCUGAGAGGAUGAGCAGCCACACUGGAACUGAGAGACGGUCCAGACUCCUACGAGAGGCAGCAGUGGGGAAUAUUGGACAAUGGGCGCAAGCCUGAUCCAGCCAUACCGCGUGGGUGAAGAAGGCCUUCGGGUUGUAAAGCCCUUUUGUUGGGAAAGAAAAGCAGCAGGUUAAUACCCCGCUGUUCUGACGGUACCCAAAGAAUAAGCACCGGCUAACUUCG
rnacentral:rRNA from 1 species